UAUACACAUACAUUUUUCUAUCACAUCUUUUUCUUGCAAUUUAAUCAAAUUUUAUAUUUCAGAGUAUCUGUUAUGUAUACAGUGGAAGCAGAGGAAUAAACAGACUUUACAUAACAUUAAACAUCUAACACAUCAUUGUGUUCGGGAAAGUCGACAUUUCACAUUGGCACUCAAUAUUGAAGAUAAGGUGCCUCUAAAAUAGGAGGAUAUUGUCAAACAACUAAAGAAGCAGAAAACAUAUUUAAGGAUGGUUGAGAAGAGCUGCUGAAAGAGGAAAACUGAGACAAUAAAUUUAAAAUACAUCUUAUAUUCUGUAUUUGCAAAGGAUGAUGAGACAAGAGAUGAUAAUGAUGAUGAUACGAAAUCUCGUCGGAUAGUAACAUCCAGAUCACCAUACAGCACUACCACAAUACAAAGUGCCUAAGCAAUAUGCAGCUGUUGUAAUAGGAAGAGGUGGUUCAGUGAUCAAAAACAUACAAGAUAAAAGUGGCACACAUAUUAAUAUGAGUAAAGAUGAUAUAGAAUCUCCGUAUCGUCUCUGUGUUAUACAAGGAAAAGAAAUGGAAGACAUUCGUUUAGCAGAGUCAAUGAUCAAAAAUAUAAAGGAAAUCAGCCUAUCAUUGAGA